rnacentral:rRNA from 1 species
UGAAUACGAGACGUUAAGGCGUCGAAGUAGUGUAUGUCAUACUUCCAAGAAAAGCUUGCACUGUCAUAGAUAAAAAACGCCUGUACCAUAACCGACACAGGUGGGUAGGUAGAGUAUACUAAGGGGCGCGAGAUAACUCUCUCUAAGGAACUCGGCAAAAUAACUCCGUAACUUCGGGAGAAGGAGUGCCUUAUUCGUAAGGUUGCAAUAACAAGAUCCAAGCAACUGUCUAUCAAAAACACAGGUCUCCGCUAAGUCGUAAGACGAUGUAUGGGGGCUGACGCCUGCCCAGUGCCAGAAGGUUAAAGAAGUUGGUUAGCAAUUGCGAAGCUAAUAACUGAAGCCCUGGUGAACGGCGGCCGUAACAAUAACGGUCCUAAGGUAGCGAAAUUCCUUGUCGGGUAAGUUCCGACCCGCACGAAAGGCGUAAUGAUUUGGAUACUGUCUCGGAGAGGGGCUCGGUGAAAUAGACUUGUCUGUGAAGAUGCGGACUACCUGCACCAGGACAGAAAGACCCUAUGAAGCUUUACUGUAACUUGAAAUUGAAAUUGGACUUUAUUCGCGCAGUAUAGGUGGGAGGCGUUGAUUAUAAUCUUGUGGGAUUAUUGGAGCCAUCAGUGAGAUACCACUCUUGUAAUGUUAGAUUUCUAACUUUGAAUCAUUAUCUGGUCAAAGAACAGUUUCAGGCGGGCAGUUUGACUGGGGCGGUCGCCUCCUAAACGGUAACGGAGGCGUACAAAGGUUUCCUCUGAACGGUUAGGAAUCGUAUCUAGAGUGUAAAGGCAUAAGGAAGCUUGACUGUGAGACCUACAAGUCGAGCAGGGACGAAAGUCGGUCUUAGUGAUCUGACGGUACUGAGUGGAAAGGCCGUCACUCAACGGAUAAAAGCUACUCUAGGAUAACAGGCUGAUCUCCCCCAAGAGUUCACAUCGACGGGGAGGUUUGGCACCUCGAUGUCGGCUCAUCGCAUCCUGGGGCGGUAGUACGUCCCAAGGGUUGGGCUGUUCGCCCAUGAAAGCGGUACGCGAGCUGGGUUCAGAACGUCGUGAGACAGUUCGGUCCAUAUCCGGUGUAGGCGUUAGAAUAUUGAGAGGAGCCUUCUUUAGUACGAGAGGACCGAGAAGGACAUACCUCUGGUGUACCAGUUAUCGUGCCAACGGUAAACGCUGGGUAGCUAUGUAUGGAGUGGAUAACCGCUGAAAGCAUCUAAGUGGGAAGCCCACCUCAAGAUAAGUAUUCUCAUU